rnacentral:lncRNA from 1 species
UUUUAUAUUAAAUGAUAUUAUAUUAAAAGUUUAUGGCUAGGGACCUAAGAGUAAAUAUUAGAAGUUUGAUAUAAUUUAUGAAAGAUUCAAAUUUAAGUUAAAAAAAAAUAGUGGACAUGUGUCACUAGCUAACCUAAUGGUUCAACUUAUGUUUGCUCUAAAGAUAACACCUAGCCCCUUUCAUGCAUGCAUGACACCUAGCAACUUUUACAUUAGCCAAAAAAAAAAAAAGAAUUAGAUGAAAGGUUAAAGAAAACAAACCUAAAGAGUUGCAGCCAGCGUAAGUUUGAGAAGAGAAGGGAAGACGAAGAAGCAGAAGAAGAAGAAGAAGAGCUUGAGGUUUUUCAUCAAUUUUUUCACAUUUAGGAUUCAAAUAAUUUUAAGGCAAGUGUUCUAACCCCAUCCCACAGUAACCUUAAUAUCUGUUUCCAUUUUUAUUCUAUAAAAUUUAAGAGAUUUCAACUUAGAAUUAGACCUUCUUUCGUUUUGAUACAAAGCCAUGAAUCUGUAAUUUUUCGGUAAUCUGACCUCUAUGCAAUUUUUCGGUCAUAACAUUUUAUAAUAAACUCUGAUUUAGACAAAACUAUUCCACUUGAAAGAAGACAAAAAGAUCUUUAUUUUGAUACUAAGAUCGAAUGAUUUGGAGUUUAAAUACAUACUAAGACUUCUGUUUAAAUUAACCCUAUAGAUUCUGCAAAAUAGGGACUAAAAUUUCUGACCUCUUGUUGCUUAACUGCUUAUAACUUUCUACUGUGAACUCAAAUUCAUACAAAGUAUGAUUUAUUCGAAGCUAGACUCAAAAUGAUUUCUAUAUAUACCUGAUUUGAAAUUUUUGGAGUACAAUUGCUAACUGAAACAUCUGCUUUCAUCGACCCUAUGGAUUCAGUAAAACAGAGCUAAUAUUUUCAAACCUUUCGCUACGAAAUUAUCUGUAACUCCCUGUUGUAAAUUCCAAUUCUUGUAAAACUUGAUUUGCCUACAACCAGAUUGACAAAUCUUUCUAAUGACAUCUAUUUUGUAUAAAUUGGAGCAUAAUUGGUUAUCCAAAUAGUUCAUACAAUGUUCCUAUCAAAUUCUGCUAGAAUCGAGCUUUGGUCGAUUUCGGCUUUUCUUGUUUCUUCUCUUUAGAAAUCGAUUUCAGCAAAAACUCUUACUUCAGUUAAGCUUUACAUUAUUACCUUAAAUUCCUGUAUACUUUUGUCCUUUAUUUAUUUGUACAUCUGUAGCUAUCAUCUAAAGUUCAUGUUUAUAUCGUAAUGAUUCAGCACAUGCAUCCCAUUGUUUCGCAUUUGCUUUCGAUAUGUGCCUCUUCUAGUUUCAUUUCUUUGGACAUUGAAUUUAUCUAACUUUCUUAUUUGAAUUAAGCUAUAUGUGAUUUCUUAAAAUCCUUGUAUGCUCUUGCUUUUGUUUCCUUUCAAAUCUGAAUACAUUUGUAAAAGGUUAUGUUUGUAUUAUAUUGGCUCGAAAGGCAUAUGUAUAUUUCGUUGUUCCGCAUGUGCUUCCGAUAUAUGCUAAUUUCAUUAUUCAUACUAUCCCUUUGUACUCUAGUAUUUGUGGGAUAAAUAUAAACCUUUGCCAGAAAUGAUAAAGGGAGUUAUGUUUAGAGCUUGUGAUGCUCUGCCGACCUCCUAUGACUUUACUCAGACGUGGGUGGAUGGAGCUCCCAAACGUGGGAGACUUAUGUUUGGUGGUCAUUCAGAAAUAGAUGGACCAUAUUAUGUUAUGUUCCCACUUCACCUUCUAUAUGUUUGAUAUGAUAUCCAAAGCUUUGGCUAUGUUUCUAUGCAUGCUUUGGAUAAGAAUGAAAUGAAUGCAACGUCAUGUGACAUUUGAGCUUCUAUUCAUGUUUUGUUCUUUGAUAUGUUUUUGAAAUGUUAUAAGUCUUUGUUAUACCUUGAAAUUACCAUAUGCCAUGGAUAUUCUCCUUAUGUCAAUGAUAUGCUCCAAUUACCUUUCCUCGAUUAUAUGAAUAAAACAUUCUUCGAACGAAAUGAUAUCAUAAUUCUAUAUUCAAACAAUACAUGCUUCUGUUUCAUCUUGUAUCUCUGCUUUGUAUUUUUUAUACCUUAUUUGGUUGAAAAAAAACUGUCAUCUUUUCUAUGGAUAUGUUAGUCAUUUGCUGAGCUUUAUAUGCUCACCCCGUUGAUAUAUAAAUUUUUCAGGAUAGCUUAUCGCUCGUUAAAAUAUAUAGUUUGGGUUGAGGCAGUGGGAAGCUAGAAGAUUUUGGGGCAAAUCUUUCGUACUUGAUAUGUUGAUGUUGUAUAAGUUCCUUUUGUGUGUAUCAAUGAUAAAUCUAGAUUGAUGUAUCCUGUAAAUAUUCGAAAAGUACCUCUCAUGUUAGGAUUUUUGGAAUGUUAAGUUAAAAUUAUAUAAUGAAUGAUAUAAACAUAUGGUACAUAUUGGUUUUGUAAUUGUAUAGAUUCUCACAACUAUGGAUUUAUGUAGUUAUGGUUUAGUUAAGUUGUCUUUGGAUUUUAAGAAUCAUCUAGUGACAUGAUGUAUGAUUAUAAACUGCACAGGUUUUGUGAAUUGUGGAUUGUAGAGGUGAAUGACUUGAAUGUUUUUCUUAGUGACCUCAAAUGUGUGAUUGGAUCCUGGAUUGUUUGUUGAAUUAUAAUAUUAUCAAUUUUGAGUUAGGUUCACACCUCCUGAAUGAAAAUUAAAUUCGGGGGGCGUGACAGAGUGGUAUCAAAGCAUGGUUUGAGGAUCACUGAAAUAUUUGAUAUGUUGACGUGCAAAAUAUAUUAAGAUAUAGUGAAAUAUAGUGAUUGGUGAAAAUUUUCUUUGAUGCAUUUUAGGAAUCUAGGAUGAUGAGGACAUUUAGUCCUCCUACUUUAUCUAUUUUUGAUUAAUUAAGCGUGAUAAAAAGGUUGAUCGGGGAUAUUAAAUCAGAGUGGCACAGUAGAAGCAUGAUGUUCCUAAUACAUUGGUAGCAGAAAAAUAGAUGAUGCGAUUGGAGAAGAUAUUUGAUGUACAAAAUUGUUCUAAUGAUCAAAAGAAUUUUUAGAGAUCAAAAACAGGAAUAGCAAGGACAAGUUUACUAAAAGAAAAAAAAUUAGAAAUGAAUCAGAAUGUGAUAAUAAGAGGGUCAAGACAUCAUCGAUUUGAAAAGGGAAGUCACCACAAAAGAUUUAAUCCUAUGUACGAUGCAAGUUAGAUUAUGAAAUAAGUUUGUAUUUGUAGGUGACUAGAGUCUAUUUUGCUUGUGGAAAUUUGGAUCAUAAAAUAAAAGACUGCCCUUUGAACAAGAAGAAAGAAUCACUGCCUCAUAAAUCAUCAGCCCAUAUCAAAGUGUAUGUUAUCACGGAAUAUGAUUCUAAAGCUUCUGAAUUAUUGGUCGAAGGUACUAUUCAUGUUUUUGAAAGAAUGCAAAUAUUUGUUUGACCGUGUGUCUCAUCUAUGAUUUGAUUCACAAUAUUUUGCUUAUCACAUGGGCAUUCAACCUAAACCACUAGAUUAUAUGCUAUAUGUAAAUACGGCUAUUGGGGAUUGUUUGAUAACAAACUCGAUCUGGUAAUUUUGUUUGAUUUCUAUUGGAGAACAUGAACUUCUUGCUAAUUUGGUUCUCCUAGAUAUUUGGAGUUUUGAUAUUAUACUAAGUACGGAUUGACUAUCUUCCAAUCAUAUCAGUAUAGAUUGUUAUACAAAAUGAUCACUUUUUGCAUACUAGAUCAUCCCAUCUUUUAUUUUGAGAGUAUUGGGCAUGAUUUACCUCAUUGCCUGAUGUAUUCCCAGAUGACUUGUCUGGUUUACCUCUAGAUAGAGAGGGUAAAUUUACUAUUGAUUUGGUCCCCAAGACAACCCCAAUAUCCAAGCCUCCUUAUAGAAUGACAUCACUUGAGCUAGAGGAAAUGAAAAAGCAACUACAAGAACUAUUAGAUAAGGGUUUUAUUCAACCCAAUGUUUCACCAUGGGGUGCUCUAGUGCUAUUAGUUAAGAAGAAGGAUGGAACAUUGAGGCUUUGUAUUGAUUAUAGACAAUUGAAUCAGGUGACCAUCAAGAACAAGUAUCCCUUACCCAGAAUUGAUGAUUUGUUUGAUCAAUUGCAGGGUGCAUAAGUAUUCUCCAAGAUUGAUUUAAGGUUAGGUUACUAUCAGUUGAAGAUCAUGAAGGAGGAUAUUCCAAAAACAACUUUUAGAACCCGAUAUGGUCACUAUGAAUUCUUAGUGAUGCUUUUUGGUUUAACUAAUGCCCCUACAGCUUUUAUAGAACUGAUGAAUAGGAUAUUUCAGCCAUUCUUGGAUGAUGGUGUGAUUGUAUUCAUUUAUGAUAUAUUAGUAUAUUUAAGGAGUAAUCAGGAGCAUGAGGAAUACUUGAGAAAUAUAUUGUCCAUACUAAGAGAAAAGAAGUUGUAUGCAAAGUUAAGCAAAUGUAAAUUUUGGUUGAAUGAAAUUGCUUUCUUAGGUCAUGUGAUUUCAGGGAAGGGUAUAUCUAUUUAUCCAAAGAAAGUGGAAGCUAUGGUUAAGUGAGAAGUACCAACAAACGUGACAGAAGUUAGAAGCUUCUUGGGCAUGGCAGGUUAUUACAAGAGAUUUAUGGAGGGAUUUUCUCGAAUCGCUCAACCUCUCACCAAACUCACUCAAAAGAAUGUGAAAUUUGUAUGGGGUGAUAAUUGUGAGCAAAGUUUUCAAGAGUUAAAAAGGAGAUUGACUAGUGCCCCUAUUCUCACUAUUCCAAGUGGUGAUGAGGGAUUUAUGGUUUAUACUAAUGCCUCAAGAAAGGGCCUUGGAUGUGUUUUGAUGCAAGAAGGGAAAGUGAUUGCUUAUGCUUCUAGAUAACUAAAGAGUUAUGAACUGAAUUAUCCAACUCAUGAUUUGGAAUUAGCAGCAAUUGUUUUUGCUCUAAAGAUUUGGAGGCAUUACUUGUAUUGGCGAACAUUUGAAAUCUUUACUGAUCAUAAGAGUUUAAAGUAUAUUUUUACUCAAAAAUAGUUAAACAUGAGGCAGCGGAGAUGGAUAAAUCUUCUAAAGGAUUAUGAUUGUACCAUUUGUUAUCACCCGAGUAAAGCUAAUGUUAUAGUAAAUGCCUUUAGUAGAAAAUCUAUAAGUUUUAUGACGACUUUGGUUGUGAAGCAAUGUAAGUUAUUAGAAGAGAAUUAUGAUUUGAAUGUUAUGAGAAAAGGGCAAGACUCAAUGAUAUUAAUGGCCUCCAUCCAAGUGCAAUCUAAUCUCAUUCAACAAAUUAAAGAAAGACAACUACAAGAUCGACGCUUGAUCUGCUUAAGGAAUGAAGUAGAAAAGGGAUUGAAACUGAAUUUUCAAGUUUUAGAGGAUGGCCUAUUGAGAUUUGGGGAUAGAAUAUAUGUUCCAAAUGACUUAGAUAUUAAAAAUCAAAUCCUGAGGGAAGGUCAUAAUUCAAAGUACACAAUGCAUCCUGGUAGCACUAAGAUGUAUAGAGAUCUCUAAAAUCAUUAUUGGUGGGAAGGCAUGAAGAAGGAGAUUGCAAUAUAUGUUUCAAAGUGUUUGACUUGUCAGCAAAUCAAAGCAAAACACCAAAGACCUGGAGGUUUGUUGCAACCUUUAGAUAUUCUUGAAUGGAAAUGAGAAUGUAUUACCAUGGACUUUAUUUCAGGAUUACCCCGAACUUCUAGAAAGCAUGAUGCUAUUUGGGUUAUCAUUGAUAGGUUAACGAAAUCUGCACAUUUCUUACCGAUCAAUAUGACUUAUUCUCUUGAUAGGCUUACAGAUUUAUAUAUCAAUGAAAUAGUAAGACUUCAUGGUGUUCCAAAUGAGAUCAUCUCUGACAGAGACUCUAGAUUUCUAUCUAGAUUUUGGAGAAGGUUACAGGAAUCUUUUGACACUAAAGUCAAGUUUAGUACUACUUAUCACCCUCAAACUGAUGGUCAAUCAGAAAAAACCAUUCAAACCCUUGAGGAUUUGCCUCGAGCCUAUGUUAUGGAUUGGAAAGGUGAAUGAGAUAAAGAUAUCUCUCUUAUUGAGUUCACUUACAAUAAUAGUUAUCAUUCAAGUAUUCAAAUGGCUCCUUAUGAAGCUUUAUAUGAGCAAAAGUGCAGGACGCCUAUAUGUUGGAAGAAAUUGGCGAUCGAAAGUUAUUAGCACCAGAAAAAGUACAAGAGACUACUAAAAAAAUUUAACUUAUAAGAAAAAGGUUAAAGACUGCUCAGAGUCGUCAAAGGAGUUAUGCUGAUAAUAGAAGACGAAAUAUUGAGUUUCAAAUCGAGGAUUUUGUAUUCCUGAAGGUCUCCACUUCUAAAGGCAAUGUAAGAUUUGGGAAGAAAGGAAAGUUAAGCCCAAGAUUUAUUGGACCUUUUGAGAUUCUUGAGAGGGUUGGUUCUAUCGCUUACAGGAUUGCCUUACCACCAUCAUUGUGCUAUAUCCAUGAUAUAUUUAAUUAUUCAAUGAGCAGAAAGUAUAUACCUGAUCCCUCUCAUAUCAUUAAGUAUGAGCUGAUGGUGAUUGAUAAAGACUUGUCUUAUAUGGAAGAGCCCACUCAGAUUAUUGUUAAAAAAGAAAAGAUCUUGAGGAAUCGGGUCAUCCCUCUAGUUAAAGUGAUAUGGAGAUAUCAUUCUAGAGAGAAAACAACCUGGGAGCUUGAAGAAGAAAUGAUGAAAGCUUAUCCUCAUCCUUUCGUCGAAUGAGAUAUAAUAAAUUUAGAUGACUAAAUUUUUCUUUAAGGAGGGGAGAAUGUAACAUCCCCCAUUUUAAAAAAUUUAGUAAAAAGUUUGUUUAUAAAAAUAAGGAUUAUUUAAUAAUUAUUUUUAUAUUAAAUGAUAUUAUAUUAAAAGUUUAUGGCUAGGGACCUAAGAGUAAAUAUUAGAAGUUUGAUAUAAUUUAUGAAAGAUUUAGAUUUAAGUUAAAAAAAAAAUUAAUGGACAUGUGUCACUAGCUAACCUAAUGGUGUCACUUAUGUUUGCUCUAAAGAUGACAGUUAACCCCUUUCAUGCAUGUAUGACACCUUGCAACUUUUGCAUUAGCCAAAACCAAAAAAAAAAAAAGAAUUAGAUGAAAGGUUAAAGAAAACA